rnacentral:misc_RNA from 1 species
GAUUGAAGAACGUAGCGAAAUGCGAUAAGUAAUGUGAAUUGCAGAAUUCAGUGAAUCAUCGAAUCUUUGAACGCACAUUUCGCCCGCCAGCAUUCUGGCGGGCAUGCCUGUUCGAGCGUCAUUUCAACCCUCGAGCCCCCCCGGGGGCCUCGGUGUUGGGGGACGGCACACCAGCCGCCCCCGAAAUGCAGUGGCGACCCCGCCGCAGCCUCCCCUGCGUAGUAGCACACACCUCGCACCGGAGCGCGGAGGCGGUCACGCCGUAAAACGCCCAACUUUCUUAGAGUUGACCUCGGAUCAGGUAGGAAUACCCGCUGAACUUAAGCAUAUCAAUAAGCGGAGGA